rnacentral:tRNA from 1 species
UCCUUGGUGGUCUAGUGGUUAGGACUCACUGCUUUCACCACUGCAGCCUAGGUUCAAUACCUGGUUUGGGAA